UUGUGGGAGCUUGCUCCCGCAAGUUAUCCCCCGACGGGUGAGUAACACGUGGGCAACCUGCCCUGUACUCUGGGAUAACUCCGGGAAACCGGGGCUAAUACCGGAUGUUGUUGUCGGAACGCAUGUUCUGAUUACUAAAGCUCCGGCGGUAUAGGAUGGGCCCGCGGUCCAUUAGCUAGUUGGUAGGGUAAUGGCCUACCAAGGCGACGAUGGGUAGCUGGUCUGAGAGGACGAUCAGCCACACUGGGACUGAGACACGGCCCAGACUCCUACGGGAGGCAGCAGUGG
rnacentral:misc_RNA from 1 species